CGAAGAUGUUGGGACAAUGGCAACAAGGGAUCAUAAAAUAAUAAUUUGAAUAAUUUGACUACUGAUUAGGUUAAUUUGUAAGAGUACAGAGGGGAGAGGUCUAGAAUUCAUAGAGAAUCUAGACUUUUUUCAAAUAAAAGUAGGCAGGGAGUCACCAUUCUGAAACUUUGCAUGGGAUAAAAUGCAAGAAAAUUCAAGAAUUACAGAUUUUUUUUAAUGUUUUUAUUUUUUAUUUUUUAUUUUUUAUGGUCAACGUAAGCAAAAUGGAAAAUAUUUGGGGAUAAAAAUAUCUGGACACAGUGUCACCAAAGCAAAUGUCUGUAUAAGAAGCAAUAUGGAAAAAAAUAGAUGGAAUAUUUGUGACAUUUGGGCACUCGGCAUGUGCAUGGACUUGGGAAGUGAUUGCCAGAGAACACAGUUCAUUCCUCCCUCCACAAUUAAAACUGCCACUCAGACCUUAUAUGUGCAACAUCCAGAGUUGAAAACGUAUUCUGUUCUUUGAUGCAUUGAAAUUAUUUUUGGAAAUCAUAGAGGCUACAGCGAAGAAGACCGAUCCAGAUUAUUAGCAGCUAAUACCUGCUUGACUGAACGAGAGUGCACUGGUAUCUUUAGCAUGGGUACCCCUUAUCUGUCGUGAAGGUACCAUCAUGCCGGACAAUGUAUACAGGUUUUGGAGCAUUGCUUUCUUUCUUUCUUUCUUUCUUUCUUUCUUUCUUUCUUUCUUUCUUUCUUUCUUUCUUUCUUUCUUUCUUUCUUUCUUUCUUUCUUUCUUUCUUUCUUUCUUUCUUUCUUUCUUUCUUUCUUUCUUUCUUUCUUCUGUUACCUUUGUUAUAUCAAACUAUAUCAUUCAAACAACAGCAUGGCAUUGUAGUGAAAGAAUCUAGGUUCUAAACUGAUCUGCCUCCAGUCCAGACCUGACACCCACCCAAAUUUUGUCAUAUUGCUGUAAAAUGACAAAAAAAUUGACUACUGAAAAAAUUACUGCUGAAAUGCAUUGCUUUUAAAACUCCAACAGUUCAUCUCCUCACCACCCAAGCAUUUACAGCUUUUUGUUAAAAGAAGAGGUGCUGAAACACAGUGAUGUUAAAAAUACCCCUGUCAUCACAUUCAAAAUGACAAAACAGUCAGUUUUCAACAUUUAUAUAUUACAUUAAUAGUAUUUUCAAGUAAAGGGGGUUGAAAUUAUUUGGACAUCACUGCAUUUUAUUUUUUAUUAACACUACAGCUUCUUUGGAAAUGCCAUACUUUUCUUUUUUGUAAUACACAUCAUCUGAAAUGUUGAGAGACUUUACUGUUUAC
ensembl:lncRNA